UUUCCUUAUGAAUUUGUAAUAUUAUUUUGGAUGAGUAAAUGGAAAGGGAAACAGAAAAAUAAGCUUACCUAAAAAUAUCUGCUGUAUAACAAUGGGCAGUGUAAGGGGUAAUAAUAGAAAGCUAUUAACCUUAGAGUUACAAGAAACUCCCAAUUAUUUCAGAGGAGUUUUACCUGCAUGAAGAAGGAAAACUGGUCUCAUGGUUCAGGGUCUAUGAAUAAUGUGGUCAAAGUAAGAAGGACAGACCCUGUACGACCUGGCAGGUUGGAAAAACCAGCACUGGAUAUCCUGUACUAAUGGGAAGCCUUUACACGACAGUCACAUCCUGAAUAAGAGUGAGGUACUGUGGACUUGUCCAGAUCCUGCAGCUUUAGCUUUUUUUACAUUUGCCUGGGACCCUUGUAUGCCUUAUUAUAAUCUGCUUUCAGUAUUAAAGCUCUGUUCUAGGA